AUGAACGCUGGCGGCGUGCCUAAUACCUGCAAGUCGAGCGAACAGACGAGGAGCUUGCUCCUCUGACGUUAGCGGCGGACGGGUGAGUAACACGUGGAUAACCUACCUAUAAGACUGGGAUAACUUCGGGAAACCGGAGCUAAUACCGGAUAAUAUAUUGAACCGCAUGGUUCAAUAGUGAAAGACGGUUUUGCUGUCACUUAUAGAUGGAUCCGCGCCGCAUUAGCUAGUUGGUAAGGUAACGGCUUACCAAGGCGACGAUGCGUAGCCGACCUGAGAGGGUGAUCGGCCACACUGGAACGGAGACACGGUCCAGACUCCUACGGGAGGCAGCAGUAGGGAAUCUUCCGCAAUGGGCGAAAGCCUGACGGAGCAACGCCGCGUGAGUGAUGAAGGUCUUCGGAUCGUAAAACUCUGUUAUUAGGGAAGAACAAAUGUGUAAGUAACUAUGCACGUCUUGACGGUACCUAAUCAGAAAGCCACGGCUAACUACGUG
rnacentral:rRNA from 1 species